ACCUGGCUGGCUCAGUCAGUAGGGCAUGUGACUCUUAAUCCCAAGGUUGUGAGUUUGAACCCCAUGUUGAGUG
rnacentral:tRNA from 1 species